rnacentral:rRNA from 1 species
GAAUAUUGGACAAUGGGGGCAACCCUGAUCCAGCAAUGCCGCGUGUGUGAAGAAGGCCUGCGGGUUGUAAAGCACUUUUAUUAGGGAAGAAAAGCUUGGGGCUAAUAUCCUCGAGUCUUGACGGUACCUAAAGAAUACGCACCGGCUACCUCUGUGCCAGCAGCCGCGGUAAUACAGAGGGUGCAAGCGUUAAUCGGAAUUACUGGGCGUAAAGCGCACGUAGGCGGUUCGAUAAGUCGGGUGUGAAAUCCCCGGGCUCAACCUGGGAAUUGCAUUCGAAACUGUCGAGCUAGAGUCUAGGAGAGGGAAGCGGAAUUCCGGGUGUAGCGGUGAAAUGCGUAGAUAUCCGGAGGAACAUCAGUGGCGAAGGCGGCUUCCUGGCCUAAGACUGACGCUGAGGUGCGAAAGCGUGGGGAGCAAACAGG